CUCUGAGCUCCCUAAGUUCUCAGGGGCUGGCUGUUGGGCUGGGUUACACCUCUCUCAUUCCUCCCCUCAGGUCCCUGCCACUGUGUUUUUCUUCCCUGUCCUAGGCAACACACACUCUCACAUACACACACCUUUCUUUUCCCUGGAUCCACCAUCCUGGGCUGAGAAGCCAGGAGAGAGGGUGGCAAGGUUUGGAGGAACCGCUGGGACAACUGGUUUUUGAAUAGCAAUUCUUCACAAUGGAUAGAUUCUUCAUCAUCUUCAGAAGCCUGGUUCUGUUCAGGCACUCUGCUUGGCCUUAUCACAAGUGACCGGUCCACCCGGAGCUCAGGGCCCCCCUGGUCCCCCUGGCCCCGCUGGAACUCCCGGCGCUGACGGCAUUGAUGGUGAAAAGGGUCCUCCUGGACCUCUUGGACCAGCAGGUCAAAAGGGAGAGCCAGGUGAGCCUGGUCCUGAUGGAUCUCCAGGGGAGGAUGGAAUUGAUGUAAGUGACACCUACAAUUAAUGAAUUACA